GUGUUUGACAAGGAUGUUGAAGAGGUCAAGACACUCCCCGGGUUUCGUGUCUUUGAAUUCACCAGCGCUGACAGCAAAGUGUUGGAUGUGGACCCAGUGGACGGAGCUUUGAUGGCAGUGUUUCGGAACCUGUCCAUCCAGGAAAAGAAAUCCAGGAUUAACGGAUCACAGGAGGUAAGUGAGGCCGUCUAUUCAUGCAUUCAU